GUGCCCCGCCCCUCCUCCCUCUCGUCCAAUCAGAUGCGAGGAAGCAGAAACCUCUUCCUGUUCCCUUCUCCCCUCUGCAGCGGCUCAGCUGACUGACAACCAUGCGGUUCCGUUUCUGUGGAGAUUUGGACUGUCCAGAUUGGGUACUUGCCGAAAUUAGCACUCUGGCAAAGAUUUCAAGUGUUAAAAUGAAACUCCUCUGUGGUCAAGUGCUGAAGGACUUGCUUGGGGAAGGCAUUGAUUAUGACAAGGUUGCAAAGCUCACUGCAGAUGCAAAGUUUGAGAGCGGAGACAUCAAAGCUAGUGUGGCAGUGCUCAGCUUCAUUUUCUCCAGUGCAGCAAAGCACGAUGUUGACAGUGAAUCAUUGUCCAGUGAGCUGCAGCAGCUCGGUCUGCCUAAAGAACAUACGACAGGGCUCUGCAAAUCAUAUGAAGACAAGCACUCUGUACUGCAAGACAGACUAAGAGAGACAAGCCUGAGACUUCUGCUCUGCAAUGAAUUUCAGUGGGAGGGCUGGACGCUGUGUGCUGGCGGGUCGACUACACUCUGAGUUCCAGUGAGCUGAGAGAGGUUAAUGAACCUGUGAUUCAGCUUAAACUGCAGACAAAAGGAGCAGAGUCAGACUCUGCAGAGACAACAGUUGUUUCUGUUUCUGCUGACAAGUUCAGAGUCUUGCUUGCAGAGCUCAAGCAGGCCCAGGCUAUGAUGAAUGCACUGCAGUAAAGAGUGGACAAUGAAGUCGGACACAAACAAAGCUGAUAGGCUGCCAAAAGUGCCAUACUUACAUCUUGUACAGUAUAAUUUUUGUAUGAACUUAAAGGUCAUGUGAAUGGCUCAGUCCUUUUCGGAUAGAUUGAAAGUUUAUUUUCUACAUCAGCAAUAAUUGGUGGAGCUGUUUCCAGACUGUGUGAUUCCUCACUGAAACAAGAAUACUGAGUGGACCAUUUUUGUAAAAUAUUGUAUAUAAUAAUUAACACGUUUUGAAUUAUGUUGAUAAUUUUUGUUUUACCUUCAUAUGCACAUGACAAAAUAAAGUCUAAAACAGAUA